UACGUAGGGGGCAAGCGUUGUCCGGAUUUAUUGGGCGUAAAGAGCGUGUAGGCGGUUCGGUAGGUCCGUUGUGAAAACUCGAGGCUCAACCUCGAGACGCCGAUGGAAACCCUCGAACUAGAGUCCGGAAGAGGAGAAUGGAAUUCCUGGUGUAGCGGUGAAAUGCGCAGAUAUCGUCUGGAACGCCGAAGGUGAAAACAGCUCGCUGGGGCUGCGCUGACGCUGAGACACGAAAGCCAGGGGAGCAAACGGG
rnacentral:rRNA from 1 species